AUUGAACGCUGGCGGCAUGCCUUACACAUGCAAGUCGAACGGUAACAGGUUAAGCUGACGAGUGGCGAACGAGUGAGUAAUGUAUCGGAACGUGCCCAGUCGUGGGGGAUAACUGCUCGAAAGAGCAGCUAAUACCGCAUACGACCUGAGGGUGAGAGCGGGGGAUCGCAAGACCUCGCGCGAUUGGAGCGGCCGAUAUCAGAUUAGGUAGUUGGUGGGGUAAAGGCUCACCAAGCCGACGAUCUGUAGCUGGUCUGAGAGGACGACCAGCCACACUGGGACUGAGACACGGCCCAGACUCCUACGGGAGGCAGCAGUGGGGAAUUUUGGACAAUGGGCGCAAGCCUGAUCCAGCCAUGCCGCGUGCGGGAAGAAGGCCUUCGGGUUGUAAACCGCUUUUGUCAGGGAAGAAAAGGUUCUGGCUAAUACCUGGGACUCAUGACGGUACCUGAAGAAUAAGCACCGGCUAACUACGUGCCAGCAGCCGCCGUAACAC
rnacentral:rRNA from 1 species